rnacentral:rRNA from 1 species
AGAGUUUGAUCCUGGCUCAGGAUGAACGCUGGCGGCGUGCCUAAUACAUGCAAGUCGAGCGAACGGACGAGAAGCUUGCUUUUCUGAUGUUAGCGGCGGACGGGUGAGUAACACGUGGAUAACCUACCUAUAAGACUGGGAUAACUUCGGGAAACCGGAGCUAAUACCGGAUAAUAUUUUGAACCGCAUGGUUCAAAAGUGAAAGACGGUCUUGCUGUCACUUAUAGAUGGAUCCGCGCUGCAUUAGCUAGUUGGUAAGGUAACGGCUUACCAAGGCAACGAUGCAUAGCCGACCUGAGAGGGUGAUCGGCCACACUGGAACUGAGACACGGUCCAGACUCCUACGGGAGGCAGCAGAAGGG